rnacentral:rRNA from 1 species
GACGAACGCUGGCGGCGUGCCUAAUACAUGCAAGUAGAACGCAGUUGCGAACGGGUGAGUAACGCGUAGGUAACUGCCUCAUAGCUGGGGAUAACUAUUGGAAACGAUAGCUAAUACCGCAUACUGUGAGAUGGACCUGCGUUGUAUUAUCUAGUUGGUGAGGUAAAGGCUCACCAAGGGGACGAUACAUAGCCGACCUGAGAGGGUGGUCGGGUACACUGGGAAUGGGACAAGGGCCAGACUCCUACGGGAGGGAGCAGGAGGGAAUCUUCGGAAAUGGACGGAAGGCCGACCCCGCAAAGCCGCGGGAGGGAAGAAGGUUUUCCGAUCGUAAAGCUCUGUUGUUAGAGAAGCGGUAACUACACAGAAAGGGACGGCUAACUACGUGCCAGCAGCCGCGGUAAUUC